GUUCACUCCAGCGUGCACUAUUGCCAUGGCGACUUUUGCAACGGGGAGCCAAAGGACCUUAAUGCCUUCAAAAUGCCCGAACAGGAAAAAGCCUCUGAAGCAAGCAGCUCCAACCAGUGCUAUUCUGGCUUCACACUGGACUCCGAUCAAGACAUCCUAGACAGAGUGAUGUGCGGAAAGGACUACUCCCAGUGCUACCAUGGCAACGGCACCAUAACAGUAGGACACCUCAUGGUGGAUUUCUUCAUCAAGACCUGCCAAGAGCCAUCCUGCGACGUUCCUGAGAGCCAGU